CUCGACCUGCAGGCCAAAGGGGCUCCGUUGCAAGGAAGAAGUGCGGGGUCCCGCCGCCUCCUAGACCGAGAUCGCGGUGAGCAGGCCGCGGCGCACGGUGGGCACGGCCUGGGUGGCGGCGCCUGCACUGUCGCCCCGCGCCUGCGGAUCCUAGAAACAUUGCGCGGCAGGCCCCAGGCCGGCCUCCCUCAGCUUCGCCGACUGUCUGGGCCGGGGGUCUCAACCUUGACUUAAGGGCCCGGUCGCUGGGGCAGACCGUUAGUGAUGUUCCGGUCCUCUGGGCCCCUGUCAGUCAAGGGACGCUCGUCGCGCGCCAAUUGUUACGUCUUUCAUUGUUUCUGUAAACCCGCUGACGCCCUCCCAGCGCAUAGGGAGACUGCGCACGUGAGUCCGCCCCCGCGCGCACUGCGGAGAGGUAGAGGCAGGAAUGUAGUACAAGGAGCCAGCUGGUCCACCGGAAGUGUGUGUUCUGCCUGUCCCUGCAGCCCGGAGGGCUGGGCUUUAUACCUGUGCCAAGGACAGGUGGAUACCUGUAAUCAAGGGUAGCAUCAGCAAGCCCGUGUUGUCUCCCAAAUAAAUGGUGUUCUCCAACAAGCUUUUAGCAGUAAUAAAGCUGACAUUUUUAUUCUCA
rnacentral:antisense_RNA from 1 species